CUGCCUAGGCUCCCACAAAGCCAGUACGUGCAGUAGGAUCAAAACCCAGUGCCAUUGUUCUUGACUUCUCAGCAGUCCUCAUUGUCUGCUAUGUUCAGCGAGUCCGGUUUUAUCCCAUGCUUUUUUAGACCCAGUCCAGCUGGCCUUGGUGAGUUCCCGAAAGACCGUCCCCAUUGUCUCAGUGUGUGGGUGCCCCCCUUGCGGUCCUGAGUUCUUUCCUCGUGUGAGAAUGCAUUCUUUCACAUUCCCAGUGAGGGAGGUCAGGGACUCCUAUGGCUCUUAUGUGGAGAAGGUUCAGAGAGGUGGAGACAACAGACAGGCCUUGGAGUCUGGGGUGUUUUUAGCCAGGAUUUGCUAACAGUUCAAGAUGGCCGAGGUUUGCUAUCCGUCUCAUAUGUAAGUCUCCCAGCUUGUGGUGAACAUCCAGGGUCUGCCCAUCCCACCCACCCUCUUUCUCAGCCCCACUUCCUGCCUUUCAACCUUGGCCCAUCCCAUUCAUGUGCUGGCUUUACCCUGACAAGUCUCCCGCCAUGGGACUGUGCUUGAUGAGUCUGUGUGGCUGAAGCUGGGUUAGUCAAGGCCUAGGCACAGAGCCUUGAGCUGUUGGUGUCCUGGAUCCCAGAUCCCAGCCACCACUCUCAGGUAGCAGAGUGUUAUGUUUCCGGAAGACUUUGUUCCCUAGGCUCCCUGGACAGCACCUGCUAGGGUCAUCCCUCUGAGGGCCAAGGGGAAAGGCUAAUGUGAUGAACCAGCUGACAGAGCCCAGUGCUGGAGCCGACCCCCUGAAGUCCUGAAUGAUUGUCCCUGGAAUGCUCGAGCAUCUGUCCAGAGCAGUUCUGAAGGUCACAAGGCAAGAAGAAACAGAGGAGAUAGCACAAGGAAGGUUGGAUGAAGCCUGAACUGGGACCUCCAGGCCGGAGGGAGGUCCUUUCGUAGUGUGAUCGCUCAGUGUUCCAGAGAGAGAGAGCAGCAUUGGACAUAAAGGGAAUUCCCGCCAUCUUUCCACUCAGCACAGUUCAAGUUGAGCAGCCCCAGAUGGGAGGCCGUAGAGCCCGGGGGAAGCUGGAACCUGGACACCAGGGCCCCUUGGCAAAUGGAGAGCCAUGUUCCUGAUAUGGCCUGUCCAGCAUCUGUCACUUGAAGCUGUCCUGGGCUUAUUCUCGGAUGUUUAGACCCCUUUAGUGAUAUGGACAGACAAUGAACUGGAACGCCAGUAAUACAAAAACAGGACAAAUUCAGCAUACCCAAAGAGAAGGAGAACGGGCAGGUGACAGACAGGUGGAUGUGUACACGCUUCACUUAUAUGGCCUGGGGCAACUGUCCUCCCUGUGUACUCACAGACACGUGUACACGUGUACUCAGGAAAAGAGACUGGAUAGAAAUGUACCCAGCAUCCUCCCUGACAUGAUGGUGUCGGUGUCUUAGAGCAGCCAUCCAUGCUGUCCUUCUUCCUCUCCUCGGUGUCUAUUGAAGUUUGCUGCCACCUGACAGCCAAAGAGGAGACAACGCUCUUUGGAAAGCUGUGCCAUGGUCUUGUUGACCAUGGUAAUCCUGCUGCGAAACAGAAGCCAGAACGUCUUCUAAUCUGGCCGCCACUAAUACCCACUGACCACCUGUAGGCACAAUUCUACUCUCAGCGUCAAGGGGUCUGUUUCUUGGCCUCCACAUAUGUGAGCUCGGCUAUUGCUCCAGUACCACGACUGCCUGCCUGCCACUGUGAUCCCUGCCUUGAUGAGCAUGGACCCACUUUGUGAAACUGUGAGCAAGACCCCAAUUAAAUGCUGCCUUUUAUAAGUUGCCUUGGUAAUGGUGUCUCUUCACAGCAAUAGAACAGUGACUAAGACAGAAGUUGGUACCAGGUAUUCGGGGACUGCUGUGACAGACCUGAACAUGCUGCUUGUUGGAGAAACAUGGAAGACUUGGGACCUUUGACUGGAAAAUCUGUUGAAUGCUUUAAGUGGAGCUUAAUGGGCCCUUCUAGUAGGAUCUUGGAAGACAGUGUUGCUGAUGUGGACUGUGGAGGCACAACUAAAGAGGUUUCAGAGAGGAAGCAAUAUUAGCCAUUGACCUAGAGACUAUUCUUGUGAUAUUUAUGCAAAGAAUGUGGCUGCUUCCUGCCCUUGUCAAACAAUUCAGCCAGAGGCUAAAUUGAAAAGUUUUGGAUUAGUAUCUUUAGCAGAGGAGAUUUCAAGACAGCCUAGUACUGACUGUGUCACGUGCUUACCAAUCACACAGAUCUACAAUGAAAAUGAGCAGGCAGUGCAAAGAGAAAUGCAAACCCUACAGCACAGGGAAUGUAAUGUUGGAGCAAGUCCUGUGCUCCCGGAGAUGAGACGUUUAAAGAAGAAUCUGCUGUAAAAUAGAAUAAAGGGAGUGAGACCCCACCAGCUAAUCCUGCUCUUGUGAAAAGAACAGGCCUAAGAAUAGUCUGUUCCUAAAGAGCAGCAGCAGAGGAAAGCUGUGCAAAUGUCACUCAAGCAGGGGCCAGGCUCCUUCAGAGCAGGCGAAGAGCUUGGCAGCAUCAGCGCCAUGGUUUCGGAUUGAGAGUCAUGAAGCACAUAGGAGCAAAGGGGUUGUUGAACCUUGCUCAAGAUGUUGUAGAUGCCAGAGCCAGGACACCUGCCAAGGAGAGCUGCGGACAGGGCAUGGAACUAGCUCAAGAGAGGAAGGGGAUUAUAUGCCUCUUUCUCUUGGAUAAGAUGUGAGCGCUCAGCUCCAUCUCAGUCUCCAGCACCAUACCUGCCUGAUGCCAUGUUCCCUGCCAUGAUGAUAUGGACUGAGCCUCUUAGCGCUGUAAGAAAGAAAUGCUUCCUUUUAUAAGUUGCCCUAGCCAUAGCGUCUCUUCACACUAAGACAUAGUGUGAUAGCCAAAGUUACACUUUAAGAAAUUUGAGAAAUCCAUGAAACAAACAAAAAAAAAUGCAUGGGAUCUGCAAGCCCAUUGCCCAAGGGCAAAUAGUUCCUGGAAUUUGCUCCAUAGACAGAGACCUGCCUGCCACUGCCUUCCUAGUGCUGGGAUUAUGGGAGAUAAUAAGCUACACAUUUUCACUUCCCUAAACAAGCUUGUUUGACCCAAAUAUACCAUAUGAGCUUGAUCACAUGUGGGCAGGUUCACAGGCAGGAAAUACAUCAGAAUGUAUGCUUGCCCCUGAUUGGACCUGAUGGGAAAUAUUUUAAGUCCCUGCAAACUAUGACUUAGGGCCAUUUCCUGGGUAGUCAGGUAUGGACCUGGCCAGC